rnacentral:rRNA from 1 species
GAUGAACGCUGGCGGCGUGCUUAACACAUGCAAGUCGAACGGAGUGCUCAUGACGGAGGAUUCGUCCAACGGAUUGAGUUACUUAGUGGCGGACGGGUGAGUAACGCGUGAGGAACCUGCCUCGGAGUGGGGAAUAACAGCCCGAAAGGGUUGCUAAUACCGCAUGAUGCAGCUGGGUCGCAUGACCCUGGCUGCCAAAGAUUUAUCGCUCUGAGAUGGCCUCGCGUCUGAUUAGCUAGUAGGCGGGGUAACGGCCCACCUAGGCGACGAUCAGUAGCCGGACUGAGAGGUUGACCGGCCACAUUGGGACUGAGACACGGCCCAGACUCCUACGGGAGGCAGCAGUGGGGAAUAUUGGGCAAUGGGCGCAAGCCUGACCCAGCAACGCCGCGUGAAGGAAGAAGGCCCUCGGGUUGUAAACUUCUUUUAUCAGGGACGAAUAGAUGACGGUACCUGAUGAAUAAGCCACGGCUAACUACGUGCCAGCAGCCGCGGUAAUACGUAGGUGGCAAGCGUUAUCCGGAUUUACUGGGUGUAAAGGGCGUGUGGGCGGGACUGCAAGUCAGAUGUGAAAACUAUGGGCUCAACCCAUAGCCUGCAUUUGAAACUGUAGUUCUUGAGUGCUGGAGAGGCAAUCGGAAUUCCUAGUGUAGCGGUGAAAUGCGUAGAUAUUAGGAGGAACACCAGUGGCGAAGGCGGAUUGCUGGACAGUAACUGACGCUGAAGCGCGAAAGCGU